AUCCUAGCUUUAGCAGUACAUGUCCUAAAAUUAGAACCAUAGGGAGAUUAGCAAGGCCCCUACACAAGGAUGACAUGAAAAUUCAUGAAGAAUUCAUGCUUCAU
ensembl:snRNA U6 U6 spliceosomal RNA